rnacentral:misc_RNA from 1 species
CAGAGUUCGUGCCCUCGCGGGUAGAUCUCCCACCCUGUGCUAUCGCUACCUUUGUUGCUUUGGCGGGCCGCCCUCGGCUACCGGCCCCCGCUGGUACGCGCCCGCCAGAGGACCCCAAACUCUGAAUGUUAGUGUCGUCCGAGUACUAUGCAAUAGUUA